rnacentral:rRNA from 1 species
UACGAAGGGUGCAAACGUUGCUCGGAAUUAUUGGGCGUAAAGCACACGUAGGCGGCUUGGCAAGUCGGAUGUGAAAUCCCUCGGCUCAACCAAGGAAGUGCAUCCGAAACUGCCGAGCUUGAGUACUUAAGAGGAUCGCGGAAUUCCCGGUGUAGAGGUGAAAUUCGUAGAUAUCGGGAGGAACACCAGUGGCGAAGGCGGCGAUCUGGGAAGAUACUGACGCUGAGGUGCGAAAGCGUGGGGAGCAAACAGG